rnacentral:tRNA from 1 species
GCGAAGGUGGCGGAAUUGGUAGACGCGCUAGCUUCAGGUGUUAGUGUGCUUAGGACGUGAGGGUUCAAGUCCCUCUCUUCGCACCA